rnacentral:rRNA from 1 species
UACGUAGGUGGCAAGCGUUAUCCGGAUUUAUUGGGCGUAAAGGGAACGCAGGCGGUCUUUUAAGUCUGAUGUGAAAGCCUUCGGCUUAACCGGAGUAGUGCAUUGGAAACUGGGAGACUUGAGUGCAGAAGAGGAGAGUGGAACUCCAUGUGUAGCGGUGAAAUGCGUAGAUAUAUGGAGGAACACCAGUGGCGAAGGCGACGAUCUGGCCUGCAACUGACGCUCAGUCCCGAAAGCGUGGGUAGCAAACAGG